rfam:Aedes albopictus isolate Foshan contig60619, whole genome shotgun sequence.
UGUUCUGUGGCUUAGUUGGUUAAAGCGCCGGUCUAGCGAAUUUGGAGUCGUGGGUUCGAAUCCCACCAGAACAC